AUGAGGAUUUUGACUCUACGUCUGAAAUACAAGACAUGGUGCACAAUGGAUGAAGAGCAACAUUUGUUGGCAAGGCCAUCAUCAUUAUUCUUCAGUAAAGCUUUGCCUGUACAGCCAAGUUCUCCCCAGCAGAGCACAACCCUCUCACAUGCCAUCUUGAGGGGAAGGCCAACAGGAAGGUCCAAGCCAAUCCUCGCACCUGGGCUGAAGGAGAGGAAAAGUAAACUUGGGGCCAGGUUUAUAGUUGCUUUCUGACCAAGCAAGAAGGGCUCCACUCAGCCACUGUCAACAGCGUCAGCACCUUGGAGCUCAAACUGAGGAAUCAUCCCAAGUCCCUGCUUCCCACAUGCCCCAGUUGGCCUUGGAGACAAGCCCUUUAGUAUGUGAAGCAUCUGUUGAACACUCAGCUGGCUGGUAGAAGUCGGACGCUCUGUAUCUGCUGACCAACCACAAUGGGGCCACCAUCAGUGAGACUACCCACCACACAGCCACCAAGGGCGGAUCUCACAUACAGACCCACUGGUGACGACCUUCUUCUCAACCUCUAUUUGGCAUUCUGAGAGAUUUCCACACAAGGUCUGGGACAGCUCAGUGACUGGCCUUGGUCAUGCUGCCCAGACGCAAAUCCAAGGCCAAUGAGGUAGGCAGACAUUAUAUGCCUUGAACAUGUGCCAAGACUGGACACAUGCACCACCUAGCCAGUACCACAGACCCAACAUGAUGGUGAUCUCCCGCCCAGGCCCUGACCACCAUAUCUAAAAACUGCACCUGCCCCCCCUCACACUUUAUCCCCGUAUCCUACUUCACUUCUCUUCAUAGUCCUGAGGUCUACCUGCCUUCCCAUUAUACGUCAGCUCCAUGAGAUGGGGAUUUGGUCUGUUUGGGUUUUAGCAACAUCCUCCACACAUAAAUAGGGUUUGGCACAGAGUAGGUAUUGAAUGAUCAGUUAACUGGUUUAAUUAGCCAGAGGCCAGGGUAGUCAAAGAGAAGGUCAAAAACAAAAUCACAUCUGACUUAACUUAAAAGGAAGU
rnacentral:lncRNA from 1 species